AAGUCGUAACAAGGUUUCCGUAGGUGAACCUGCGGAAGGAUCAUUAACACGUAUCCACGUAUCUACCUCUCGUGAACUUAUUUUUGUUUUGUAGUUAUCUCAAGUAUGACUAAGGAAGCAGAUGGCCAUGUCGUUAGAGGGUUUUUUCACUUAAACUCUCUCGUUCUGCUUGCCUAUCCACCUUUGCUGAGUACUAGUGUAUCGAGGUCGUUCCAUAGAAAUAUGAGUUCAGCCCUGCUAGUCCAUUCACUCCUUAGGAUUGGGUAUUUGAGAAAACUCGAAUCAUGGUGGUUUUUAACCUAUUAACCCCUUUUUUUUUUAAAUUGUCUUAGUGAGUGCUCAGUUCUCUAAUUCAUUUUUAGAGUGUUGACCUCCCCAAAAAAUUUAAACACUAUACAACUCUUAGCAACGGAUAUCUCGGUUCU
rnacentral:misc_RNA from 1 species